AUGCCGUUUUAUAUAAGUGUUUACCCAGAAGAUCUAAUUUCUGCUUUCCUCUUUAUGAAAACUUAACUUUGAUUUAUUUUACGCGUUUAUAAACUGCACAGCAACUAAGCCAUCUCGCCAUAGGCGUUCAGUACAUGAGCUCGCUGGGUUAAAACAGUCAUGGCUAACUAAACAACAGCGACCCCCGUCUCUCUGCUCCGCACUCCUCCUGUGCACCAGCUCGACAGAAAGAGACCAAAAAACACCGUAAAAGCAAGCUCACCUCUUUGAAGAAUAAAGUGCAACAAAGUGGAAAGGAAAGCCGAUUGUAAGGCUAAAGAAAUUCAACGCGUUUGCAGCAUCUACGAGGGUGAUGAGUUGGAUCUGCUGGCAGAAAAGGAAGCCUGACAGACUCUGCAGGCCCAAGCAUCUAGUGAGGGUCUGCUGGGAUCAUCUGGAUGUAUUCAACUCCCACCUCUAGGAGAUCUUUUACAGAUUCCCGGGGAGGCUGGAGACGUUGAGCCCGAGUUGGACAAUGUUCUCUACCUAUAUUGUCGAUGCGGCUGCCCAUAAGAAAUAUGACAUGACACCGAGGCCCAUUUCUUUUAACCAGCUGGUCACAAUCCUGGAUGAGGACCCAUAUUUAUCUCGCCACCACGCACACUGAGGAGGAUUGGAAAGCAAGAUGGAAACAUCUCGAAAGAUCACUGCUGGAGAACUACGGCAAAGAGCAACAUCUUGGGGCCACAGAGUCUCCAUAAUACCCAUUAAAAACCAUCAACAUGCCAGCUGGUUGCUUGGGAAUAAUUUUAGGAUGCAUUUGUGUCCCACUGUCACAAACAAACACACAGACAUUCCUAAUCUCUGCUUGAAGUUUAACUGGAACUGUGGGCUUUGGCCAGAUGAAAGCCGGCAGCAAACACUCAAGUACCGGUAA